GAUUAUAGUACUGGAGUAGUAUUUCGGCGGGAUGGAAUUUGCGGAGGCUCAUCCGAUGGUCGGAGUUCUCAAUAGUCGUCGACGAUGUUUUAUGGAGCUUCGUCGGGGCGCUGGAGUCAUUGGCUUUGGCCGCCAUGCUCUGCUUCUUCUUCGUCUUCUGUGGAUGUAUUCCUUGAGCUUUUGAUUUCAGCAAAAAGGAGACGUAAAGAGAUGACUAAUCAAGGAGAUUCUACGAAUCAGACGGUCAGCACGAGGGUUGGGAAAUGCAUUGGGUGGACCUCUCCGUAUUGCAUCAGAUCCUCACAGCCGCCAUGUAAUGCAAUUACAAGAAUCAUGAUGGUGAGAAUCAAUGUUGCUUUCCAAUCACGGUUCGGCCUGAGCCUACGUACUUGGCCCAUUCAACUUUACUUGCCCAUGGUGAAACGUAGCAAAAUAGCUAUGGAUCAUUGACAAUUUGUCUCUUUUCUCUAACAAGACAUUACUGAAAAUGUGUCAUUGAAUUAGUUUCCCCACAAAUAUAUACUUAUCAUUAUGUUUCCAUCAA